UACGUAGGGGGCAAGCGUUGUCCGGAAUCAUUGGGCGUAAAGAGCGUGUAGGCGGCUCGGUAAGUCCGCUGUGAAAGUCCAGGGCUCAACCCUGGAAUGCCGGUGGAAACUGUCGAGCUAGAAUCCGGAAGAGGCGAGUGGAAUUCCUGGUGUAGCGGUGAAAUGCGCAGAUAUCAGGAGGAACACCAAUGGCGAAGGCAGCUCGCUGGGACGGUACUGACGCUGAGACGCGAAAGCGUGGGGAGCAAACAGG
rnacentral:rRNA from 1 species